UGGCACAUAGCAGCCCUUAAGAUGAUAUCUCGCCGUCAUGGGGUGUCGGGGGUCGGAGGUUCAAAUCCUCUCGUGCCGACCA
rnacentral:tRNA from 1 species